rnacentral:rRNA from 1 species
GACGAACGCUGGCGGCGUGCUUAACACAUGCAGGUCGAACGGAAAGGCCCUUCGGGGUACUCGAGUGGCGAACGGGUGAGUAACACGUGGGUGAUCUGCCCUGCACUUUGGGAUAAGCCUGGGAAACUGGGUCUAAUACCGAAUAGGACCACGCGCUUCAUGGUGUGUGGUGGAAAGCUUUUGCGGUGUGGGAUGGGCCCGCGGCCUAUCAGCUUGUUGGUGGGGUAAUGGCCUACCAAGGCGACGACGGGUAGCCGGCCUGAGAGGGUGACCGGCCACACUGGGACUGAGAUACGGCCCAGACUCCUACGGGAGGCAGCAGUGGGGAAUAUUGCACAAUGGGCGCAAGCCUGAUGCAGCGACGCCGCGUGAGGGAUGACGGCCUUCGGGUUGUAAACCUCUUUCACCAGGGACGAAGCGUAAGUGACGGUACCUGGAGAAGAAGCACCGGCCAACUACGUG